rnacentral:rRNA from 1 species
GACGAACGCUGGCGGCGUGCCUAAUACAUGCAAGUAGAACGCUGAAGCUUGGUGCUUGCACCGAGCGGAUGAGUUGCGAACGGGUGAGUAACGCGUAGGUAACCUGCCUGGUAGCGGGGGAUAACUAUUGGAAACGAUAGCUAAUACCGCAUAACAGUAGAUAUCGCAUGAUAGCUACUUGAAAGGUGCAAAUGCACCACUACCAGAUGGACCUGCGUUGUAUUAGCUAGUUGGUGAGGUAACGGCUCACCAAGGCAACGAUACAUAGCCGACCUGAGAGGGUGAUCGGCCACACUGGGACUGAGACACGGCCCAGACUCCUACGGGAGGCAGCAGUAGGGAAUCUUCGGCAAUGGACGGAAGUCUGACCGAGCAACGCCGCGUGAGUGAAUAAGGUUUUCGGAUCGUAAAGCUCUGUUGUAAGAGAAGAACGAGUGUGAGAGUGGAAAGUUCACACUGUGACGGUAUCUUACCAGAAAGGGACGGCUAACUACGUG